rnacentral:tRNA from 1 species
GCCUUCGUGGUGUGAUGGUCAGCACACUGAGCCGGUAUUUCAGAGGUCCGUGGUUCGAUCCCCGGCGAAGGCA